rnacentral:misc_RNA from 1 species
GAUGAAGAACGUAGUGAAAUGCGAUAAGUAAUGUGAAUUGCAGAAUUCAGUGAAUCAUCGAAUCUUUGAACGCACAUUGCGCCCCUUGGUAUUCCGAGGGGCAUGCCUGUUCGAGCGUCAUUAUAACCCCUCAAGCUCAGCUUGGUGUUGGGGCCUGCUGCACUGGCAGCCCUUAAAAUCAGUGGCGGCGCCAUCUGGCUCUAAGCGUAGUAAUUCUUCUCGCUAUGGAGUCCUGGUGGAUGCUUGCCAUCAACCCCCAAUUUUUCUAUGGUUGACCUCGGAUCAGGUAGGGAUACCCGCUGAACUUAAGCAUGUCAAUAAGCGGAGGA